UUCACUUUCACCCCCAAUUAGCUAGCUAGCUUGAGGGGCAGAGAGUGAGAA
ensembl:miRNA